rnacentral:rRNA from 1 species
UACGUAGGGGCCGAGCGUUGUCCGGAUUUAUUGGGCGUAAAGAGCGUGUAGGCGGCCAGGUAGGUCUGCUGUGAAAACUCGAGGCUCAACCUCGAGACGUCGGCGGAAACCAUCUGGCUAGAGUCCGGAAGAGGAGAGUGGAAUUCCUGGUGUAGCGGUGAAAUGCGCAGAUAUCAGGAAGAACACCCGUGGCGAAGGCGGCUCUCUGGGACGGUACUGACGCUGAGACGCGAAAGCGUGGGGAGCGAACAGG